rnacentral:rRNA from 1 species
AGAGUUUGAUCCUGGCUCAGGACGAACGCUGGCGGCGUGCCUAAUACAUGCAAGUCGAGCGAAUCGAUGGGAGCUUGCUCCCUGAGAUUAGCGGCGGACGGGUGAGUAACACGUGGGCAACCUGCAUAUAAGAUUGGGAUAACUUCGGGAAACCGGAGCUAAUACCGGAUACGUUCUUUUCUCGCAUGAGAGAAGAUGGAAAGACGGUUUACGCUGUCACUUAUAGAUGGGCCCGCGGCGCAUUAGCUAGUUGGUGAGGUAAUGGCUCACCAAGGCGACGAUGCGUAGCCGACCUGAGAGGGUGAUCGGCCACACUGGGACUGAGACACGGCCCAGACUCCUACGGGAGGCAGCAGUAGGGAAUCUUCCGCAAUGGACGAAAGUCUGACGGAGCAACGCCGCAUGAGUGAUGAAGGCUUUCGGGUCGUAAAACUCUGUUGUUAGGGAAGAACAAGUACGAGAGUAACUGCUCGUACCUUGACGGUACCUAACCAGAAAGCCACGGCUAACUACGUGCCAGCAGCCGCGGUAAUACGUAGGUGGCAAGCGUUAUCCGGAAUUAUUGGGCGUAAAGCGCGCGCAGGCGAUUUCUUAAGUCUGAUGUGAAAGCCCACGGCUCAACCGUGGAG